UUGGGAUAUAGCCAAGUGGUAAGGCAAUGGACUUUGACUUCAUCAUGCGUUGGUUCGAAUCCAACUAUCCCAAUUUG
rnacentral:tRNA from 1 species